GAUGAACGCUGGCGGCGUGCCUAAUACAUGCAAGUCGAGCGAACAGAUGAGGAGCUUGCUCCUCUGACGUUAGCGGCGGACGGGUGAGUAACACGUGGAUAACCUACCUAUAAGACUGGGAUAACUUCGGGAAACCGGAGCUAAUACCGGAUAAUAUAUUGAACCGCAUGGUUCAAUAGUGAAAGACGGUUUUGCUGUCACUUAUAGAUGGAUCCGCGCCGCAUUAGCUAGUUGGUAAGGUAACGGCUUACCAAGGCAACGAUGCGUAGCCGACCUGAGAGGGUGAUCGGCCACACUGGAGCUGAGACACGGUCCAGACUCCUACGGGAGGCAGAAGUAGGGAAUCUUCCGCAAUGGGCGAAAGCCUGACGGAGCAACGCAGCGUGAGUGAUGAAGGUCUUCGGAUCGUAAAACGCUGUUAUUAGGGAAGAACAAAUGUGUAAGUAACGAUGCACGUCUUGACGGUACCGAAUCAGAAGACCACGGCUAACUACGU
rnacentral:rRNA from 1 species